rnacentral:rRNA from 1 species
UGGGGAACUUUGGACAAUGGGCGCAAGCCUGAUCCAGCCAUGCCGCGUGCAGGAUGAAGGCCUUCGGGUUGUAAACUGCUUUUGUACGGAACGAAACGGCCUUUUCUAAUAAAGAGGGCUAAUGACGGUACCGUAAGAAUAAGCACCGGCUAACUACGUGCCAGCAGCCGCGGUAAUACGUAGGGUGCAAGCGUUAAUCGGAAUUACUGGGUGUAAAGCGUGCGCAGGCGGUAAUGUAAGACAGUUGUGAAAUCCCCGGGCUCAACCUGGGAACUGCAUCUGUGACUGCAUUGCUGGAGUACGGCAGAGGGGGAUGGAAUUCCGCGUGUAGCAGUGAAAUGCGUAGAUAUGCGGAGGAACACCGAUGGCGAAGGCAAUCCCCUGGGCCUGUACUGACGCUCAUGCACGAAAGCGUGGGGAGCAAACAGGAUUAGAUACCCUGGUAGUCCACGCCCUAAACGAUGUCAACUGGUUGUUGGGAAUUCACUUUCUCAGUAACGAAGCUAACGCGUGAAGUUGACCGCCUGGGGAGUACGGCCGCAAGGUUG